rnacentral:rRNA from 1 species
CCUACGGGAGGCAGCAGUGGGGAAUAUUGCACAAUGGGGGAAACCCUGAUGCAGCGACGUCGCGUGAGUGAUGACGUAUUUCGGUAUGUAAAGCUCUAUCAGCAGGGAAGAAAAUGACGGUACCUGACUAAGAAGCCCCGGCUAACUACGUGCCAGCAUCCGCGGUAAUACGGAGGGGGCAAGCGUUAACCGGAUUUACUGGGUGUAAAGGGAGCGUAGACGGCGGUGCAAGCCAGAUGUGAAAGCCCGGGGCUCAACCCCGGGACUGCAUUUGGAACUGUGCUGCUAGAGUGUCGGAGAGGCAGGCGGAAUGCCUAGUGUAGCGGUGAAAUGCGUAGAUAUUAGGAGGAACACCAGUGGCGAAGGCGGCCUGCUGGACGAUGACUGACGUUGAGGCUCGAAAGCGUGGGGAGCAAACAGGAUUAGAUACCCUAGUAGUC